CACCGCGGUUAUACGAGAGACCCAAAUUGACAGUACUCGGCAUAAAGUGUGGUUAAGAAGAACUAAAAUAAAGCCGAACUCUCUCAAGGCUGUUAUACGCGACCGAGAGAAAGAAGAUCAACAACGAAAGUGGCCUUAGCCCAAUCUGAACCCACGAAAACUAGGACA
rnacentral:rRNA from 1 species